rnacentral:rRNA from 1 species
UACAGAGGGGGCAAGCGUUAUUCGGAAUUAUUGGGCGUAAAGGGCGCGUAGGCGGCUUCGCAAGCGGAAGGUGAAAUCCCUCGGCUUAACCGAGGAACUGCCCUCCGAACUGCGUUGCUUGAGGCCGGGAGAGGUGAGUGGAAUUCCCAGUGUAGCGGUGAAAUGCGUAGAUAUUGGGAGGAACACCAGUGGCGAAGGCGGCUCACUGGACCGGUACUGACGCUGAUGCGCGAAAGCGUGGGGAGCAAACGGG